CCAGGCCUGAGCCUGCUGGCAAUCCUAGGUGGCAGUGGGAUGCUGGGAUGAGCUUGUGGCCCUGCAGAAUGGAAUUUUAGGCCAAUGCAGUGGAUGACUCUUCCCAACAACAAGCUCUUGGCUGCAGAGAGGAUGGCUAUCUUCUGGGACUGAGACGACCAUGCAGGCUUCUCUGGGCUAGAAAGGGGCACAGAGGACAUGGAUGCCCUGCCCACAUAUGUUACACACAGGAAGCCCCACCAAAACACGAGUGUGCACGGUGCACCAAGAACAUCUCCUCUGGGGUCCAUAUUUGGUUUCAGUUUUUUGUAGCCCAGCAUCCUGCACCCAUCAUCUCCCGAAGUCCAGUCACAGGGUGGAGCAGACAUAUGCUUGA
rnacentral:lncRNA from 1 species